UCAUGGCUCAGGAUGAACGCUGGCGGCGUGCCUAACACAUGCAAGUCGAGCGGUAUAUAGUGGAAUGAAACUUCGGUCGAGUGAAGCUAUAGAGAGCGGCGGACGGGUGAGUAACGCGUAGGCAACCUGCCCCAUACAGAGGGAUAGCCUCGGGAAACCGGGAUUAAAACCUCAUAACGCAGAGAGUUCACAUGGACUAUCUGCCAAAGAUUCAUCGGUAUGGGAUGGGCCUGCGUCUGAUUAGCUAGUUGGUGAGGUAACGGCUCACCAAGGCGACGAUCAGUAGCCGACCUGAGAGGGUAAUCGGCCACAUUGGAACUGAGACACGGUCCAAACUCCUACGGGAGGCAGCAGUGGGGAAUAUUGCACAAUGGGCGAAAGCCUGAUGCAGCAACGCCGCGUGAGCGAUGAAGGCCUUUGGGUCGUAAAGCUCUGUCCUUGGGGAAGAAACAAAUGACGGUACCCUUGGAGGAAGCCCCGGCUAACUACGUG
rnacentral:rRNA from 2 species